UACGUAGGGUGCGAGCGUUGUCCGGAAUUAUUGGGCGUAAAGGGCUCGUAGGCGGUCUGUUGCGUCGGGAGUGAAAACUCAGGGCUUAACCCUGAGCCUGCUUCUGAUACGGGCAGACUAGAGGUAUGCAGGGGAGAACGGAAUUCCUGGUGUAGCGGUGAAAUGCGCAGAUAUCAGGAGGAACACCGGUGGCGAAGGCGGUUCUCUGGGCAUUACCUGACGCUGAGGAGCGAAAGCGUGGGGAGCGAACAGG
rnacentral:rRNA from 1 species